GGCGGGAUGGCAGAGUGGUUAUGCAGCGGCCUGCAAAGCCGUGGACGCCGGUUCGAUUCCGACUCCCGCCU
rnacentral:tRNA from 1 species